AUAACCCCCUCACCUUCAUGAGUCGCUUUGGUCAAGGUGUUUCAUUGAAGCAGUAGUAACCCUAAGCAGACAAACUCUGUUGUGUAGAGCCCAGUGAGCUGUGAUUGUCUCUGGUAGGUAUACAAAUGAAGUGUAAAUGCAGCCAAUCAGGAAAGAGCUAUCUAACCUGAGAGAAGGAAAAAGCCCACUAACCCCCGAGAGGUCGCUCUCCCACAACACACGCUCAUGGUGUUGAUGCACAACUGGGGAAAGUGUCAGGCAAAACACUUGUUUCCCUGGGUUCCAGCCAGAGCUCCACUGUCACCUGCUGUGCCAUAUCUUUGGUUCCUGGCUGCCACAAGGAAAGCUCUGACCUCUGGCAGGGGCUGUGGUGUUUAAGCUUCUGUGACUGGAGUAUGGGUGACUUAAAGGCAGCUGCAUUAACCAAAAGCCUCCUCCGGGGAGCGAUGUCUCAGAAGCAGGAACCCCAAGGUGCUUCAGUGGGACAGAGCUCAAGGCUCCAGAGACAGCCCACGACCCACUGUCCUCAGUAGACAUCAUGAGGACCCUACUGCUUCCUGUUAUCUGAACCUAAGUCUCUCCUCCUGAUGUGGGAACUAAAGGUCUGCAAACACUGGGUGGGCCAAGAGCACUGGUUUUAUUAGUGUUGACGCCCAGGUGAUUGGGACUCUUCAGAAGAAAGUCAUGAGUUUAUCUGUUUCUUCUACCCUGUAAGUCACUUCAACUAUCUUAGCUCUAGAAUUUUCUUUGCCAGUUUCACAAAUUCUGCUUAUUUGGACAUGAAGGCUAAAGAGCAAUUCAAGAAAAAGUAGUUUGUAUGUGGUAAUUUUAAAAAGUGGCAUUGUGUAAUGUUCUUUGGUGACAGGCAGAAGAAAUCACUGACAUAUUGUCAUUGUGUCAACAGUAGAAGCACUGGAAGAGAGCACAUGGGGAAGAGUCUAAAACUGUGCUCAAUACUUAUCAGCUCCAUCCCAUGAGGUACAACUGUCCAAGCCUCCAUUGAUUAUGUAUUGUUGGCAAGCGUGGGUUGACAUGUGACCUGUACACCUGACUUGUAAAGCAGUGUUCUUGGAUUUUCUUUCUUGAAUGACAUUUUAUCAACACAUUGGCACCAGCUGUGACUGAAGAAAACAUUCAAAGCAGCCUAUUGAAGACACGGCAAAUAGGGAUUUUAUUUAGUCCAAUAAAAUUAUUACCAAAUGGC